AGAGUUUGAUCCUGGCUCAGGAUGAAUACUGGCGGCGUGUCUAAGGCAUGCAAGUCGAAUGCUAGCUUGCUAGCAUGGCAAACGGGAGAGUAACACAUUGGUAAUUUACCCUAGGGACGAGAAUAACCUUGCGAAAGCGAGAGUAAUACUCGAUAAUAGUGGGGGGACAUAUGUCAUUCCUACUUAAAGUUCCGGCGCCCUGGGAGAAGCCUAUGGCUUAUCAGCUUGUUGGUGGGGUAAUGGCCUACCAAGGCAACGACGAGUAGCGGGUGUGAGAGCACGGCCCGUCUCACUGGGACUGAGAUACUGCCCAGACUCCUACGGGAGGCUGCAGUCGAGAAUAUUCCUCAAUGGCCGAAAGGCUGAAGGAGCGACGCCGCGUGCAUGAAGAAGCUCUUCGGAGUGUAAAGUGCUUUUAUUAGGGACGAAUUUCGACGGUACCUAAUGAAUAAGGGGCUGCUAACCUCGUGCCAGCAGCAGCGGUAAUACGAGGGCCCCAAGCAUUAUCCGGAUUUAUUGGGCGUAAAGGGUCCGUAGGCGGUUUAAUACAUCUUUCGUUAAAUCUUUUGGCUCAACCGAAAGUUCGCGAGAGAUAUGGCUAAACUAGAGGCCGGGAGAGGUAAGCGGAAUUGUUGGUGUAGGGGUUAAAUCCUUUAAUAUCAACAAGAACACCAAAUGCGAAGGCAGCUUACUGGAACGGUUCUGACGCUGAGGGACGAAAGCGUGGGGAGCGAAUAGGAUUAGAUACCCUAGUAGUCCACGCCGUAAACGAUGGAUGCUAAGUAUUGGGAGUUUCGACCCUCUCAGUGCUGUUAUUUCAAGUUAACACGUUAAGCAUCCCGCCUGGGGAGUACGAGCGCAAGCUUAAAACUCAAAGGAAUAGACGGGGAUCCGCACAAGUGGUGGAGCAUGUGGUUUAAUUCGAUAAUAAGCGAGAACCUCACCAAGGUUUGACAUAUAGCUGCAAGUCCUAGAAAUAGGAUCGCCUUCGAGGGUGCUAUACAGAUGCUGCAUGGUUGUCGUCAGCUCGUGUCGUGAGAUGUACCGUUAAGUCGGAAAACGAGCGCAACCCCUAUUCUAUGUUUUACAUGUCAUAGAAAACUGCCUGCUUUAAGUGGGAGGAAGGUGGGGAUGACGUCAAAUCAGCAUGGUUCUUACACCUUGGGCUACACACGUGCUACAAUGGGGAGAACAAAGGGACGCUAAGCCGUAAGGUGGAGCAAAUCCCAUAAAUCUCCUCUCAGUUCGGAUUGAGGUCUGCAAUUCGACCUCAUGAAGCUGGAAUCACUAGUAAUCGUGAAUCAGCCACGUCACGGUGAAUACGUUCUCGGAUCUUGUACUCACCGCCCGUCACACCAAGGGAGUCGGCAAUGCCCGAAGGCUCAUGUAUAUGGGACGAAGGUAAGGCUGGUAACAAGGGUGAAGUCGUAACAAGGCA
rnacentral:rRNA from 1 species